rnacentral:lncRNA from 1 species
UUCUUGUAUUUCAAUAAAGAAAAUAUGAAAAAAAAUUGAAAAUGACUUUUGAGGGAGCAAAUGAAAGAGAACACUCAAGCUCUCAAGAAAAAAAGGAAGCUCACCCCAAACUAUGCCUCAUGGCUCAUGAGGAUAAAAAGUAAAAAAAAAGAAAUAAAGAAGAAAGAAAGCAUCAAUUAAGGGGAGCAAAGCAAAGAAAAGGA